CAGCCGCCACGGUAAUACGAAGGGGGCUAGCGUUGUUCGGAAUUACUGGGCGUAAAGCGCACGUAGGCGGAUAUUUAAGUCAGGGGUGAAAUCCCGCAGCUCAACUGCGGAACUGCCUUUGAUACUGGGUAUCUUGAGUAUGGAAGAGGUUAGUGGAAUUGCGAGUGUAGAGGUGAAAUUCGUAGAUAUUCGCAGGAACACCAGUGGCGAAGGCGGCUAACUGGUCCAUAACUGACGCUGAGGUGCGAAAGCGUGGGGAGCAAACAGGAUUAGAUACCCCGGUAGUCCCUGUCUCUUAUAC
rnacentral:rRNA from 1 species